UCAGCUUUGGCGCAGUAGAUAGUGCAUCAGUUUCUCAAGCUGAAGGUCCCGAGUUCAAUCCUUGGAAGGAGGG
rnacentral:tRNA from 1 species